rnacentral:rRNA from 1 species
AACGAACGCUGGCGGCAUGCCUAACACAUGCAAGUCGAACGAGACCUUCGGGUCUAGUGGCGCACGGGUGCGUAACGCGGGGGAACCUGCCCGUAGGUUCGGAAUAACUCCCCGAAAGGGGCGCUAAUACCGGAUAAUGUCUUCGGACCAAAGAUUCAUCGCCUUUGGAUGGGCCCGCGUUGGAUUAGCUAGUUGGUAGGGUAAAAGCCUACCAAGGCGACGAUCCAUAGCUGGUCUGAGAGGAUGAUCAGCCACACUGGGACUGAGACACGGCCCAGACUCCUACGGGAGGCAGCAGUGGGGAAUAUUGGACGAUGGGCGCAAGCCUGAUCCAGCAAUGCCGCGUGAGUGAUGAAGGCCUUAGGGUUGUAAAGCUCUUUUAGACGGGAUGAUAAUGACAGUACCGGGAGAAUAAGCACCGGCUAACUCCGUG